rnacentral:rRNA from 1 species
ACUCCUACGGGAGGCAGCAGUGGGAAUCUUGCGCAAUGGGCGAAAGCCUGACGCAGCAACGCCGCGUGAGGGAUGACGGCCUUCGGGUUGUAAACCUCUUUCAGGAGGGACGAAGCUUCCGGGGUUAAUAGCCUACGGGGUGACGGUACCUCCAGAAGAAGCCCCGGCUAACUACGUGCCAGCAGCCGCGGUAAUACGUAGGGGGCAAGCGUUGUCCGGAAUCAUUGGGCGUAAAGCGCGUGUAGGCGGCUUGGUAAGUCUGGUGUGAAAACUUGGGGCUUAACCCCAAGCCUGCACUGGAUACUGCCUGGCUAGAGUCCGGGAGGGGAGAGCGGAAUUCCCAGUGUAGCGGUGAAAUGCGUAGAGAUCUGAAGGAAUACCGGUGGCGAAGGCGGCCCCCUGGACAGAUACUGACACUCAGAUGCGAAAGCGUGGGGAGCAAACAGGAUUAGAUACCCUGGUAGGACAGUG